rnacentral:rRNA from 1 species
GAUGAACGCUGGCGGCGUGCCUAAUACAUGCAAGUCGAGCGAACGGACGAGAAGCUUGCUUCUCUGAUGUUAGCGGCGGACGGGUGAGUAACACGUGGAUAACCUACCUAUAAGACUGGGAUAACUUCGGGAAACCGGAGCUAAUACCGGAUAAUAUUUUGAACCGCAUGGUUCAAAAGUGAAAGACGGUCUUGCUGUCACUUAUAGAUGGAUCCGCGCUGCAUUAGCUAGUUGGUAAGGUAACGGCUUACCAAGGCAACGAUGCAUAGCCGACCUGAGAGGGGGAUCGGCCACACUGGAGCUGAGACACGGUCCAGACUCCUACGGGAGGCAGCAGUAGGGAAUCGUCCGCAAUGGGCGAAAGCCUGACGGAGCAACGCCGCGUGAGUGAUGAAGGUCUUCGGAUCGUAAAACUCUGUUAUGAGGGAAGAACAUAUGUGUAAGUAACUGUGCACAUCUUGACGGUACCUAAUCAGAAAGCCACGGCUAACUACGUG